rnacentral:snoRNA from 1 species
GAGGAAAACUAUCAGUGCCUCUUGCGUGACUCAAAACAACAUUCCUCAUAAACAUCUGUAGAAAAUCAAGACGGAGCAUCUUCCAUGAGGAGGAGGCACAGGGCUCCCCACCGAGUAUGAAGCAGGCUCUUGGUGUUGCUUAGCUGAAACUGCCAUUUGCCACUGAUGAGCUUCCGUCCCUUCCUCUGCGACAGUAAGAGCAAGAGGGGGUGGGGAGGGGGUGCAGGGG